AGGAGACAAACAAACAGGAACAACGCAAAAAAACUGGGUGAAGAUGUAGAAACAAUUCCUCCAGAUUACAGAUUAACAGAAGAAAAAGAUAAAGAUGGAAAACCACUCUUACCAAAACCAGAAGAAAAGCCCCAGCCUGUGAGUGAAGAUGAUCUUUUACUGGGUUUGACAGAAGGAUUUUUCUGUUCUCCACCAUCUUCACCAUUGCGUACACCGACUGUA